AGUAGUGUGGUUUAGCGGAUAGAGCAUAGGCCUGGGAAUCGUAAGGACCUGGGUUCUAAUCCCAGCUCUGCCU
rnacentral:tRNA from 1 species